AUGAGUGUUUAUACAACGAAACUGCGAAUGGCUCGGUAAAACAGCAAUAAUUUCUUCGAGGAUAAAUACUACCGGAUAACCGUAGUAAAGCUAGAGCUAAUACGUUCCAUUGCAGCGCGAGUUCUUCGUGUCUCGUGGUACUAAGUAUUAGGUACAACCCAGAUUUUUUUUUCUGGUGAUUCAUACUUAUCUUCUGAUCGCACACUCGUUGUGCGACGCCUCGAUUAAAUUUCUGACCUAUCAACUAUGAUCGUAAGGUAGGGUCUUACGAUGGUUGUGACGGGUAACGGACCGUGGGUGCGGGAUUCCGGAGAGGGAGCCUGAGAAACGGCUACCACAUCCAAGGAAGGCAGCAGGCGCGCAACUUACCCAAUCCGAACUUCGGGAGGUAGUGACAAAAAAUAUCAAUAGGGGGACCAAUGGUCUUCCUAAUUGGAAUGAAAACAAUGUAAACACCUUAUUGAGGAACCAGCAGAGGGCAAGUCUGGUGCCAGCAGCCGCGGUAAUUCCAGCUCUGUAAGCGUAUACCAAAGUUGUUGCAGUUAAAACGCUCGUAGUCGGAUUUUGGCGUGGUGCUUCUGAGAUGCCUGAUUUUGGGCGUCAAUAUUGUAGUCCCGCCUUUGUGGAGGGGGGGUGUGGUGGUA
rnacentral:rRNA from 1 species